UUGGAUGCCAACCGCCAAUAAACCUCACUGAAGAAAAAGAUGCUACCCAUCUUGCUAGCUAACUAGCUAAACAACAGACACAGCAUUUACAAAUAAGUGUGUUUAAAAGCAAGUUGACAUGAUAGUUGGCAAGUAUCAGUAUUAAUGUAUCGUGACAACGUAGAGUUCUGACGUCUUUAUCAAGUCGCAAUGGUGUGCCUUUCGUUUGAACAGUAUUUCCUCAUUGGUUUUCAUUUUAUGCUUGUAUUUGGAAAGGAUUGUGGGCCAGCAGAAUACAAAACAUCUGAUGGGCAGUGCUGCCCAAUGUGUAAUAAAGUUGUGAUCCAUGCUCCGUGUGGAUCUCAUAGGAUCGCGGUGCAACUUCUCUCUGCACGCACCCUUGCUGCAUCCAAGUUCCUGUAGUGACAUCUCGGAGUCGUACAUGAUCUCCAGGUUUCAGUUCAGGUAAGUGUCUUGCACUUUUGUCUUUCUGUUUUUCCUUUGCGAGUUUGACGUUGUGAGCACCUCUGGGUGUUAACAAGUCCUCAUGGAUGGGUAGGUUGGUUCUGAUGCGACGUCCCAUCAACAUUUGUGCAGGUGUAAGUCCAUUCUGCAGCGGUGCGCUGCGGUAGAUCAGACUUUUUAGGAAGUCCUCCUUUCCAUCAUGUGCCUUUUUCAUCAGACCUUUGACAAUUUUGACUGAAAUUUCUGCUAAGCCGUUGGGGCUGGAGGUGUUGUGUCGGAACCCCCAGUCAUUAGCGAACGAUCGGAAUUCAGAACUUGAGAACUGUGGGCCAUUGUCAGAGUUCCUGAAGCAGAUCCUUUGACUUUCCCGAAGCAGAUCCUUUGUUUGCUCUCCCCAGGGCAACUGAACUGAUUCUAGCGGCUGACCCUAAACAUCGCCUGCGGAGGAGAGGCCUGCUGGUUCGACUUAGGAGGCGCGCACACCACCCACCGCUUCCAAGGAUACUACUAAUGUUCAGUCUUUG